AUGAUGUAACGGUAUCACCUGGCACCAGGAAUCUCUCCAGGAAUUCUCUUGGCCUUCAUUGGAACUUAUCUCAAAGAGCUCCCAGCAAGGAUGCCAAACAGUCUCCCCCUUUUCCACUAGCUACUACUUGGCUAGUCUGGAUCAUUGCAACAUAGUGGUGGAGAUCAUAUGAAGAACUUGGACUUCUGUUCUACCUAGCAGUAAUGAGAGUUCCUACUUCUUCCCAUUUGGAAGGUGCCAGAGGAGACCAAUGGAAAGUCAGAACCUUCACCACUAACCAGCAGUAAAGAGGACACUUCUAUCCAUGGUGUCAGUGGAGGAAAUACGAGGAACAGUAAUAAGACACUCCUACUUCCCCCAGCAAAGAAGAAAUCAGUGGAGGCCUAAUGGGGAGCCAAAACUUUCAUCCCCACCUAGCAGCCCCUCAAAAAUUACAGGGGAUGAGAAAACUACACAAAGAAAUGGUGAAGAAUAACUCUAGAAUUUGGCAAAAAAUGCAUAAGUCUACAGAUUCAAGAAGUUGAACAUAAUCUAAACCCAAUAACCUAAAGAAAUUCAGUCCAAAGCACAUUAUCGUUCACCUUCUGAAAACCAAAGACAAAAUAUCUUGGAUGCAAUGAGAGAAAAAUGACACAUUACCUACAGGGAUAAAACAAUAUGGAUGACUAUUUCUCUUAGAAACCACAGUGGCCAGAAAUGGCACAUUUUUCAAGUGAUGAAAGAAAAGAUGACAUUACAACCCUACAUGUGUAUGUCCUGAACACAGAGCUGCAAAAUACAAGAAGAAAAUUUGUAGAAUAGAAAGGAUAGUCAAGUCCACAGUUAGAAUUGAUUACUUUAACAUCCUUCUCUCAACAAUGCAUAGAACUACACAAAAAAUUAGCCAUCAUCAUCAAUAAGAUCUAAUGGGUAUUAACAAAACACUUUAGUCAACAAAGUAGAAUACAGAUUCUUUCCAUUGUCCACAGAACAUCUAUCAAGACAGCCCACAUCCUGAGCUGUAAAACAAACCUCAACACAUUGAAAAGAAUUAAAAUCAUACUGAAUGUGCUCUCCAACUAUGAUGGAAUCAAACUGGAAAUCAAUGACACAAAGAUGAGAAAAUCUCCAAACACUUGGAAACUAAACAAGAAUCUAUAAAGAAGUCUCGAGGGGAAUUUAAAGAUACAUUUAACUGAGUAAGAGUGAAAAUGUAGCAUAAUAUAACUUCUGGGACACAGCUAAAAUGGUAUUGAAAGGGACAUUUCUAGCACUAAAAUCACACAUUAGAGAAGAGGGAAAGUUUCAAAUUAAUAAUCUAAGCCCCUCCUAAGACAGCUACAUAAUGAAGAGCAAAAUAAGCCAAAAAAAAAAAAAAAAAAAAAAGCAGAAGGAAGAAAAUAAUAAAGUUAAGUGCAGAAAUCACUGAAAUUGAGAACAGAACAACAAUAUAGAAAAUCAAUGAAACAAAGAGCUGGUUCUUUGAAAAGAUCAAUAACAUUGACAACCCUCCAACAAGACUGACAUGAUUUGCUAAUAUUAGGAAUGAAAAAGGGGAUAUUACUACAGACUCUGCAGACAUCAAACGGGUAAUAAGGAUAACCAGGAGCUCUGCAUAUAUACAUUUCACAACUUAGAUGUAGUGGAAUGGACCAAGAAAGGAUGUUUUACAAGAAUUAACCAUAAAAGACACAACUGGUAAAGCCACCAGGAUGGCUCAAUCAGCUUUCCCUCGGUGCUUGAACAUAAAUAUCCCUACAGAAGAAUAUUGAUACUUUAUGUGGCAGAAGUCAGAUCCUAAAGGGAGCAAAGGGAAUUGAGGAGAUAUGGACGACGUGUUUCCGGAUCUCUGGGGAUGGUUUGCUGUGAUGGUUGUCAUUUCCUCUCCUGAAGUCACCUCACCAGAACCAGAGCCUGGCCUGGCCCAGAAAGGGAGAAAGAGGAUUAUCGACCAUCAUUUCUCACAGGCUUUCUGGGUCUUGAACUCCAACGUAGCCAAAGGGAGGGAUGCUGGAGUCAUUGGCAAACACCUGAUCACCACUGAAGCUCAGAGGCUUUACCAACCAGAAGUGUGGUCAAGGUCUAACUACCAGUUGUUCAUUCAUUAGAAUUACCUAGGGUUAAUUGGCUACCUGACCCCAUAUAGCACAAACUUCGUCGGCAUUUUGUUUUUGUUUUUUGUUUUGUUUUUCCCUCUGAAAUGUUACUUCAUCCCUUUUCUGGUCACCACGGAACACUUUUGGUUUUAUCUUCUUUCCAGAAAAUCAUCUUUUCCAACUCUCUGAAGGAACUCUGUUCAAAGUAUUAUGAUAACAUAACCAAUGGUCCAUUCAGAAAUGUACAGAAAAUAUUUGAUGGUCAGUAUAGGGAGCAGAGCUGGGUAAACAGGGAAGGCAGGGUAUUUAGAGCAGAGCAUUUUUUAAGUCUGUUACUUCCAAUUCCAAUACAAAUAAGGCUAUUGGUGUUGUGUCGAUAAUAAUGCUAUUUCUACUCUUUUUGAAACCUGGAGGAGUUCACACAAACGGAUUUCUUUAGAGUCUUAAUGCUUAGCCACAUAAGAUUUACAAUGAGUUUCUAUAAAAUUUUGACCAUUUGGCAUGAAAACCUUCCCAAUAUAUUACAUUUCCUUUUCUUGAUACCCAGUGUAACUAAAUCUCCAGCCUUUUCUUAAUAGCUGUUUUGUUU